AGUGAACGCUGGCGGUAGGCCUAACACAUGCAAGUCGAACGGCAGCACAGUAAGAGCUUGCUCUUACGGGUGGCGAGUGGCGGACGGGUGAGGAAUAUAUCGGAAUCUACUUUUUCGUGGGGGAUAACGUAGGGAAACUUACGCUAAUACCGCAUACGACCUACGGGUGAAAGCAGGGGAACUUCGGACCUUGCGCGAAUGAAUGCGCGGAUGUCGGAUUAGUUAGUUGGCGGGUUAAAGGCCCACCAAGGCGACGAUCCGUAGCUGGUCUGAGAGGAUGAUCAGCCACACUGGAGCUGAGACACGGUCCAGACUCCUACGGGAGGCAGCAGUGGGGAAUAUUGGACAAUGGGCGCAAGCCUGAUCCAGCCAUACCGCGUGGGUGAAGAAGGCCUUCGGGUUGUAAAGCCCUUUUGUUGGGAAAGAAAAGCAGCAGGUUAAUACCCCGCUGUUCUGACGGUACCCAAAGAAUAAGCACCGGCUAACUUCGUG
rnacentral:rRNA from 1 species